CUGCUUCUUUGUAAAUUUUGGUAGCAACUUUUAGGGCUCGUUUUCUCUCUCUCUCUCUCUCUCUCUCUCGCUCUCUCGCUUCUCCUUCCGCUCAUUUCUCUUGUUCCUUUUCUCUCUCCAGUGGCCCUAAAAAUCUGUUUGGGAGUUAUAACCUACACUUCAGAUAAAAAUCCCUUUCAAGAAUUGUUCAUAAAGAGCCCAAUUGGUAGCACGAUGAACCAGGAAUUAGAAACCUCGGCAAUUGAAUUGCUUAUGAACAGAGAUGGCAGCAUCAACUUCAGUGGAUUAAUUGUGACAUGUUGUGAUCAAGUUGAAGAGUACAUAUGUUGCUGAAGCUUUUCGAAAAAUAAUAGAUAUAAGCUCCCCCCCUACAAUUUCAUGGCAGUUAUCUUUGUUCUUUCUUUUUCAUUUCAUAUGUUAGAUUUAUAUACUAACUGAUGCAUUCCGUUGGUGUGUAAUAGGAGUUUAUGAAGUGUUGUUGGAAAUAAAUAAUGGUUGUCCAAGAAAGACUUGGAAGCCUAGAUUGUACCUUGGAGUAAAGAGUGCUUAGGGUCCUUUUGGAUUUCCAAGUGCAAUGAACAAAGCCAUAAGUGAAAAUGCAUUGUGGAACUUAGUUUGCUCUGCAAUACUGCGUGAUUUUUGUACAACAUGGAAAAAAUUGUUCAAGAACAAUGGAGGUACUAGAGUUUUAAAAAAAAAUGGUAGUUAACUGAGCUAAGAAACUAGAGUAAUUUAGAGAAUAUGUGUGAUAAAGUUUGGCAGGAAGCGGAAGAGAGACAUGGCUACUUGGUCUAUAUAUUUUAAUCUGUUCAAGAUGCAUAUUUAUGACUUUUUAAAGAUCUAUUUGGCCAUUGUAACAUUCAAGUUGGUUUAGACAUUUCA